rnacentral:rRNA from 1 species
AACGAACGCUGGCGGCAGGCCUAACACAUGCAAGUCGAGCGCCCAGCAAUGGGAGCGGCGCACGGGUGAGUAACACGUGGGAAUAUGCCCUUUGGUUCGGAAUAACGCAGGGAAACUUGCGCUAAUACCGGAUAAGCCCUACGGGGGAAGAUUUAUCGCCAUUGGAGUAGCCCGCGUCUGAUUAGCUAGUUGGUGAGGUAAAAGACCCACCAAGGCAACGAUCAGUAGCUGGUUUGAGAGAACGACCAGCCACACUGGGACUGAGACACGGCCCAGACUCCUACGGGAGGCAGCAGUGGGGAAUCUUGGACAAUGGGGGAAACCCGUGAUCCAG